UGGGUUAAUAAGACAGCAUGGUCAAAC
rnacentral:sRNA from 1 species